CCUACGGGUGGCAGCAGUCGAGAAUCAUUCACAAUGGGGGAAACCCUGAUGGUGCGACGCCGCGUGGGGGAAUGAAGGUCUUCGGAUUGUAAACCCCUGUCAUGUGGGAGCAAAUUAAAAAGAUAGUACCACAAGAGGGAGAGACGGCUAACUCUGUGCCAGCAGCCGCGGUAAUACAGAGGUCUCAAGCGUUGUUCGGAAUCACUGGGCGUAAAGCGUGAGUAGGCUGUUUCGUAAGUCGUGUGUGAAAGGCGCGGGCUCAACCCGCGGACGGCACAUGAUACUGCGAGACUAGAGUAAGGGAGGGGGAACCGGAAUUCUCGGUGUAGCAGUGAAAUGCGUAGAUAUCGAGAGGAACACUCGUGGCGAAGGCGGGUUCCUGGACAUUAACUGACGCUGAGGCACGAAGGCCAGGGGAGCGAAAGGGAUUAGAUACCCCUGUAGUC
rnacentral:rRNA from 1 species